UACGAAGGGGGCUAGCGUUGCUCGGAAUCACUGGGCGUAAAGCGCACGUAGGCGGAUCUUUAAGUCAGGGGUGAAAUCCUGGAGCUCAACUCCAGAACUGCCUUUGAUACUGAGGAUCUUGAGUCCGGGAGAGGUGAGUGGAACUCCGAGUGUAGAGGUGAAAUUCGUAGAUAUUCGGAAGAACACCAGUGGCGAAGGCGGCUCACUGGCCCGGUACUGACGCUGAGGUGCGAAAGCGUGGGGAGCAAACAGGAGUUAGAAACCCUU
rnacentral:rRNA from 1 species